AGCAGCCGCGGUAAUUCCAGCUCCAAUAGCGUAUAUUAAAGUUGUUGCAGUUAAAAAGCUCGUAGUUGAAUUUCGGGAUCAGUACGUCGGUCGUGCCUUCGGUAUGCACUGGUGUCACUGGUUCCUCCCUUCUGACGAACCGUCAUGCCAUUAAUUUGGUGUGGCGGGAAAUCAGGACUGUUACUUUGGAAAAAUUAGAGUGUUUAAAGCAGGCUCACGCUUGAAUACAUUAGCAUGGAAUAAUGAAAUAGGACGUUGAUCUUAUUUUGUUGGUUUCUAGGAUUGACGUAAUGAUUAAUAGGGAUAGUUGGGGGCACUAGUAUUCAAUUGUCAGAGGUGAAAUUCUUGGAUUUAUUGAAGACUAACUACUGCGAAAGCAUUUGCCAAGGAUGUUUUCAUUAAUCAAGAACGAAAGUUAGGGGAUCGAAGACGAUCAGAUACCGUCGUAGUCUUAACCAUAAACUAUGCCGACUAGGGAUCGGAUGAUGUAAUUUUUAAUGUACCAUUCGGCGUACCG
rnacentral:rRNA from 1 species